CUUUGGGGUGUGACUGCGUACCUUUUGUAUAAUGGGUCAGCGACUUAUAUUCUGUAGCAAGGUUAACCGAAUAGGGGAGCCGGAGGGAAACCGAGUCUUAAUUGGGCGUUAAGUUGCAGGGUAUAGACCCGAAACCCGGUGAUCUAGCCAUGGGCAGGUUGAAGGUUGGGUAACACUAACUGGAGGACCGAACCGACUAAUGUUGAAAAAUUAGCGGAUGACCUGUGGCUGGGGGUGAAAGGCCAAUCAAACCGGGAGAUAGCUGGUUCUCCCCGAAAGCUAUUUAGGUAGCGCCUCGUGAAUUCAUCUCCGGGGGUAGAGCACUGUUUCGGCUAGGGGGCCAUCCCGGCUUACCAACCCGAUGCAAACUGCGAAUACCGGAGAAUGUUAUCACGGGAGACACACGGCGGGUGCUAACGUCCGUCGUGAAGAGGGAAACAACCCAGACCGCCAGCUAAGGUCCCAAAGUCAUGGUUAAG
rnacentral:rRNA from 1 species